AUGGGUCUGGUUCUGGUUAUCAUGAUCUUCAUAUUAUCAAUAGCUUUGCUGAUUUUCUGCAAGAAGAGAAGAUCCACCAAACCUAAAGUUCCUCCUGCAGAAACCAACCAUGCAGAAGUCACAGAGUCCAGCAGAGUGAUUGAGGAGAUCAGAGAGGACAGACAGAUCAGUUCUCCUCCUGUGGAAACAUCUUCAGUUCACUGCAACGCCAAAUACACCAAACCAAACAGAGCUGAAGACACCUCAGCUUAACCAUCUGUAAUCUGAGCAAACGCCCCCUGUGGUGAUGCAGAUAACAUCCUCUACUGCCCCUUCAGACAGAUGUGACGUCUGUCAACAACAUCAGAGAAGCUUCACCUCCUCUGGACUCUCCUGUUGUUCUACAUCAGUAGUGUAACAGUUGCAGCUGUUUUAGGAGAAUUUGUGACUCAUUCCUUUAUGUUAUAACUGUGCUGUCAAAAUGUUUUAGUUUAGCUUCUCUUCAAGCAUAAUUCUGCUGUAUUUCCAUUUGGUUUCAUUUCCAUUAUUGUGUCUCUGUGGGUCAUGAUAAGUUUGCAGAUUCAGAGAACUGAGGUGAACACAAAGUUAACACCACCCACAGAACCACAACAGUCACAUUAAAGGGAAAUACACCAGGUUGAAGUAAAUCAGAAUCAUCAUUUAAAUAAUUUCUUUAUAUACUAUUGCAGUAAUUUUGACGAAGUUUAUUGUUUUUAUUGAAAAUUUAAGUGUUUCUUGCAAAGUUCAAACUGUAAAGUUAGUCAGGAUAAUUCAUCUUUUAAAUGUUUUUUAAAUAUAUUUGCUAAAUAUGUUCCAUGUACAGAUGUGAAGAUCAGGUCUUUCUGUGAGCUGUUGUGUUGCUUUUUCAUAAAUAUAUAUGUUUUGUUAUUCAUGCUUUAAUGUCCUGCAAAAAAAAGAUAUUGCAAAAGUUGGUUUGCUAAAGCAUUUUAAAUAGCCAUCAUGUAGUCACCAUGACAACAACAAGCUGUAAACUGUUUAAAUAUGCAACAGUAACAAACCUCCUUCACUUUAUUCACCAA